rnacentral:rRNA from 1 species
UACGGAGGGAGCUAGCGUUGUUCGGAAUUACUGGGCGUAAAGCGCGCGUAGGCGGCUUUGUAAGUUAGAGGUGAAAGCCCGGGGCUCAACCCCGGAAUUGCCUUUAAGACUGCAUCGCUUGAAUCCGGGAGAGGUGAGUGGAAUUCCCAGUGUAGCGGUGAAAUGCGUAGAUAUUGGGGAGGAACACCAGUGGGCGAAGGCGGCUCACUGGACCGGAACUGACGCUGAGGCGCGAAAGCGUGGGGAGCAAACGGG